rnacentral:rRNA from 1 species
GAUGAACGCUGGCGGUAUGCUUAACACAUGCAAGUCGAACGGACUCUUCGGAGUUAGUGGCGGACGGGUGAGUAACGCGUGAGAAUCUGGCUUUGGGUUCGGGACAACCACUGGAAACGGUGGCUAAUACCGGAUGUGCCGAGAGGUAAAAGAGAAAUUGCCUGAAGAUGAGCUCGCGUCUGAUUAGCUAGUUGGUGAGGUAAAGGCUCACCAAGGCAGCGAUCAGUAGCUGGUCUGAGAGGAUGACCAGCCACACUGGGACUGAGACACGGCCCAGACUCCUACGGGAGGCAGCAGUGGGGAAUUUUCCGCAAUGGGCGAAAGACUGACGGAGAAAUACCGCGUGAGAGAAGAAGGCGCUUGGGUUGUAAACCUCUUUUCUUAGGGAAGAACAAAAUGACGGUACCUAAGGAAUCAGCAUCGGCUAACUCCGUG